UGUGAGCGUAUACCAAAGUUGUUGCAGUUAAAACGCUCGUAGUCGGAAUUUGGCAGUUCCGGAAGUGUGCACGUCGUGUGCGCACUUUGCGGGGACUGCUUUUGUGGUCUUGCGUAGGAUGAGGCACUUUCAUUAGUGAACGUCCUCACGCAACCACUCUUUACUGUGAGAAAAUCAGAGUGCUCAAAGCAGGCAUUUGCCGUGAAUGUAUUAGCAUGGAAUAAUAGAAUAGGACUCGGUUCUAUUUUGUUGGUUUGUUGGGACUGAGUAAUGAUUAAGAGGGACAGUUGGGGGCAUUUGUAUUCCGGCGCUAGAGGUGAAAUUCUUAGAUUGCCGGAAGACAAACUGCUGCGAAAGCGUCUGCCAAGGAUGUUUUCAUUGA
rnacentral:rRNA from 1 species